rnacentral:rRNA from 1 species
UACGAUUGGUCCAAGCGUUAUCCGGAAUUACUGGGCGUAAAGCGCGUGUAGGCGGUUGUUCAAGUCAGGUGUGAAAGCCUUGAGCUCAACUCAAGAAAUGCACUUGAUACUGGAUGACUAGAGGACCGGAGAGGAUAGUGGAAUUCCCAGUGUAGUGGUGAAAUACGUAGAGAUUGGGAAGAACACCAGUGGCGAAGGCGGCUAUCUGGACGGUUUCUGACGCUAAGACGCGAAAGCGUGGGGAGCAAACAGG